rnacentral:rRNA from 1 species
GCAGCCGCCGCGGUAAUACGUAGGGGGCAAGCGUUAUCCGGAAUUAUUGGGCGUAAAGAGUGCGUAGGUGGUCUACUAAGCGCGAGGUGAAAGGCAAUGGCUCAACCAUUGUUAGCCUUGCGAACUGGCAGACUUGAGUGCAAGAGAGGAAAGCGGAAUUCCUAGUGUAGCGGUGAAAUGCGCAGAUAUUAGGAGGAACACCGGCGGCGAAGGCGGCUUUCUGGAUUGUAACUGACACUGAGGCACGAAAGCGUGGGUAGCAAACAGGAUUAGAUACCCGGGUAGUCCCUGUCUCUUAUACA